GACGAACGCUGGCGGCGUGCCUAAUACAUGCAAGUAGGACACAGUUGCGAACGGGUGAGUAACGCGUAGGUAACUGCCUAUUAGAGGGGGAUAACUAUUGGAAACGAUAGCUAAUACCGCAUACUAGUAGAUGGACCUGCGUUGUAUUAGCUAGUAGGUAGGGUAAUGGCCUACCUAGGCGACGAUACAUAGCCGACCUGAGAGGGUGGUGGGACACAAUGGGAAUGAGACACGGCCCAGACUCCUACGGGAGGAAGCAGUAGGGAAUCUUCGGAAAUGGGGGGAACCCUGACCGAGCAACGCGGCGUGAGUUAAGAAGGUUUUCGGAGUGGAAAGCUCUGUUGUUAAGGAAGCGGUACUUAACCAGAAAGGGACGGCUAACUACGUGCCAGCAGCCGCGGUAAUUC
rnacentral:rRNA from 1 species